CAGCCGCCGCGGUAAUACGUAGGGUGCGAGCGUUAAUCGGAAUUACUGGGCGUAAAGCGUGCGCAGGCGGUUAUAUAAGACAGAUGUGAAAUCCCCGGGCUCAACCUGGGAACUGCAUUUGAGACUGUAUGGCUAGAGUGUGUCAGAGGGGGGUAGAAUUCCACGUGUAGCAGUGAAAUGCGUAGAUAUGUGGAGGAAUACCGAUGGUGAAGGCAGCCCCCUGGGAUAACACUGACGCUCAUGCACGAAAGCGUGGGGAGCAAACAGGAUUAGAUACCCGCGUAGUCCCUGUCUCUUAUAC
rnacentral:rRNA from 1 species